rnacentral:rRNA from 1 species
CCUACGGGAGGCAGCAGUAGGGAAUCUUCCGCAAUGGACGAAAGUCUGACGGAGCAACGCCGCGUGAACGAUGAAGGCCUUCGGGUCGUAAAGUUCUGUUGUUAGGGAAGAACAAGUGCUAGUUAAAUAAGCUGGCACCUUGACGGUACCUAACCAGAAAGCCACGGCUAACUACGUGCCAGCAGCCGCGGUAAUACGUAGGUGGCAAGCGUUGUCCGGAAUUAUUGGGCGUAAAGCGCGCGCAGGCGGUUUCUUAAGUCUGAUGUGAAAGCCCCCGGCUCAACCGGGGAGGGUCAUUGGAAACUGGGAAACUUGAGUGCAGAAGAGGAAAGUGGAAUUCCAAGUGUAGCGGUGAAAUGCGUAGAGAUUUGGAGGAACACCAGUGGCGAAGGCGACUUUCUGGUCUGUAACUGACGCUGAGGCGCGAAAGCGUGGGGAGCAAACAGGAUUAGAUACCCUGGUAGUCCACGCUGUAAACGAUGAGUGCUAAGUGUUAGAGGGUUUCCGCCCUUUAGUGCUGAAGUUAACGCAUUAAGCACUCCGCCUGGGGAGUACGGUCGCAAGACUGAAACUCAAAGGAUUGACGG